AUUUAUAUAGUUUAAUAAAACAUUACAUUUUCAUUGUAAAAAUAGAAAUAUUUCUUAUAAAUA
rnacentral:tRNA from 1 species